rnacentral:lncRNA from 1 species
CUUUAAGUUACCCAAAUGUUGACCAAAAACAUCCCUCUGUUAAAUUUACCGUUUAAAUUUGACGGAUCUUGUAUUCUCACGUGACUUCUCUUUUUCCCUCCAUUUUCUCACUAAAUUUUCCCUCUUACCUCCUUUUCACAGAACCAAAAGCCACUUUUGGGAAAAGUUGAGAUAGGUUUUCUAAUGGUUGAACAACUUCUUCUUGGGUGAAGCUCCUUUCAGUGUAAAUUAACAAUCUAGUUGUUGAACCUGUG